UACUGCGGCAGGUGCUACACAGCGUGCUACAAUGGCGCAUACAAAGAGAAGCGACCUCGCGAGAGCAAGCGGACCUCAUAAAGUGCGUCGUAGUCCGGAUUGGAGUCUGCAACUCGACUCCAUGAAGUCGGAAUCGCUAGUAAUCGUGGAUCAGAAUGCCACGGUGAAUACGUUCCCGGGCCUUGUACACACAGCCCGUCACACCAUGGGAGUGGGUUGCAAAAGAAGUAGGUAGCUUAACCUUCGGGAGGGCGCUUACCACUUUGUGAUUCAUGACUGGAGUGAUAGAACGGACGGUAAC
rnacentral:rRNA from 1 species